ensembl:snRNA U1 U1 spliceosomal RNA
AAAUCUUGGCAAAGGAGAUACCAGGAACACAAAGGAGGUUUUCCCAGGGCAAGGCUUAUCCACUGCAAUCCAGAUGUGCUGACCCCUGCAAUUUCCCCAAACCUGGGAAACUCAGCUACCUAAUUUGUGCCAAUGGGAACUACAUUUGCUCUUUUCCCU